CACAGAACACUCUGGGUGAAGUUUGCUGCUCUAGCCAGGCUGCUUAUCUUUCUGCUUUUUUUCUGGAAUUCCAUAAUCCACUGACUUUCAUCUCUUUUCUCUCUAAAUCUAUUCUAGGCACGUCUUCACUACAGCUUCCCCAGCCUAGACAUGGAGGUAGCAGGAGCAUCCCUUCUGAACAGCCAUCCCUUUCCUCUGUGGCAGCUGGCCUCACUUCUGAGGGGUCUUCCCUUCCAAUGGCACGUGCAGAAAGCCAAGCAUGAAGAAUUGAGUGUACAGGAACUGCUGGGGCCCUGAGCCCAGUCCCCAGCUUUUCCUGCAGGAUUCAUGCUCUUCAAUAUGGUGCCCUCCCACAUCUUUGUGCCACAGCCUAUUCCCCAAAAAGCUCAGCGGUACAAGACUUAAUUACAAAAGGCAAGAAAAAUGUGAAAG
rnacentral:lncRNA from 1 species